rnacentral:rRNA from 1 species
UAGGGAAUCUUCGGCAAUGGACGGAAGCCUGACCGAGCAACGCCGCGUGAGUGAAGAAGGUUUUCGGACCGUAAAGCUCUGUUGUUAGAGAAGAACGUUGGUAGGAGUGGAAAAUCUACCAAGUGACGGUAACUAACCAGAAAGGGACGGCUAACUACGUGCCAGCAGCCGCGGUAAUACGUAGGUCCCGAGCGUUGUUCGGAUUUAUUGGGCGUAAAGCGAGCGCAGGCGGUUCUUUAAGUCUGAAGUUAAAGGCAGUGGCUUAACCAAUGUACGCUUUGGAGACUGGAGGACUUGAGUGCAGAAGGGGAGAGAGGAAUUGCGUGUGUAGCGGUGAAGUGCGUAGUUAUAUGGAGGAACACCGGUGGCGAAAGCGGCUCUCUGGUCUGUAACUGACGCUGAGGCACGAAAGCGUGGGGAGCAAACAGG